GUGGGAGCAGCCCAAUGCCAACCGUGUUCUUUAAGCCUUCGUUCAUUCUACUGUUGAGCCUAUUAAUAUGUCGUCUGGGCUUAAAUAUGUAAUUAUUCUCUUUUCUUUGGGCUAUUUAUGGUUGUGGGCUUAUUAGACCGAAAUUAAAAUCGAGGCUUUGUUUUCGGCCCAUUUUGAAAAUUUAAAUAGUACAAAACCCUAAUUCAGAUAAUUCUCGUCUUCAGCUCCGUUUCUUCCCAGUGGCUUCUCUCUACUUCGCGCGACUCAGA
rnacentral:lncRNA from 1 species